rnacentral:rRNA from 1 species
AUUGAACGCUGGCGGAAUGCUUUACACAUGCAAGUCGAACGGUAGAGGGGGCAACCCCUCGAGAGUGGCGAACGGGUGAGUAAUAUAUCGGAACGUGCCCAGUCGUGGGGGAUAACGUAGCGAAAGUUACGCUAAUACCGCAUACGAUCUAAGGAUGAAAGCGGGGGAUCGCAAGACCUCGCGCGAUUGGAGCGGCCGAUAUCAGAUUAGGUAGUUGGUGGGGUAAAGGCUCACCAAGCCAACGAUCUGUAGCUGGUCUGAGAGGACGACCAGCCACACUGGAACUGAGACACGGCCCAGACUCCUACGGGAGGCAGCAGUGAGGAAUUUUCCGCAAUGGGCGCAAGCCUGACGGAGCGACGCCGCGUGAGGGAUGACGGCC